rnacentral:rRNA from 1 species
AUACGGAGGGUGCGAGUGUUAAUCGGAAUUACUGGGCGUAAAGCGUACGUAGGCGGUUGGUUAAGUUAGAUGUGAAAGCCCCGGGCUUAACCUGGGAACUGCAUUUAAAACUGGCGAACUAGAGUUGAGUAGAGGGGAGUGGAAUUUCAGGUGUAGCGGUGAAAUGCGUAGAGAUCUGAAGGAACACCAGUGGCGAAGGCGACUCCCUGGACUCGAACUGACGCUGAGGUACGAAAGCGUGGGUAGCAAACGGGAUUAGAAACCCUAGUAGUCC